UACCCUUGUUCAAGUGGAAAAAAUCUGACGCGAUUUUCUCAUCUUCUCCAACCUCUCAACCCUCCUCUUACGCAAUCUGUCGGCGACUCUCUAAUUGUUCCUCACGCUUCGAUGAUUUUGUAAGAGAAACAAAAUUGAAAUCCAUCCUCUCUCUCGCUCGCGAUCAUUUCUUAGUUUUAGAAUGCACGCCUCUCUCAUCGUUUCUAACGCGUGCUCGAUGAUUUUGGAGCGUACUGCUUGACUUGGCGAAUGACAAUGAAGAGCCUAAUUGAGGAGCAGAAGAAACGAAUUGCAGCUGGAGAGGUAGUUUUUCCUUCCUUCUCUUAAAUGGAAAUGAGGUUGUUCACCUGCUCUAUUUGACUUGGCUUGAAUUUAUGAUAGAAAACGAAUUGCUAUGCUGAUUUCUUGUUAUCUGAAGCAAAAACACUUACAGAGGAUCAGAUAGCCAUGUUGCUUUGGGAGACAACCUCUGUAACCUCAGCCACUACUAUGGUAUGUAUGAAUGGGGCUAUGUAUGAACUUGCAAAAGAUUCGAAACUUUCUGAAGUUAUAAGAACCAUUUUGUGCUCUGCUUCAACAUUAUCUUAGUAUUAGCUUUAGUUGCAUUUGGAAAACCUUGUUCAUUAGACAUUAAACUUAUUAUAUUGGUUUUUAAUGGAGCAAAAACUGUAGGAAAUAGAAAGAAAAUCUAUAAUGUAAUCAUUAAGAUUAUAUUACAGUAUGGUGGGAAUCUAAAAGGGUUUGAAAUAUGAAAAUUAGAAUGUGCUUCCAUGCCAUCCUUUUGACCAAAAAAUAAAACAUUUUUGUUCCAUUUUUGUUA